rnacentral:rRNA from 1 species
CACGUAGGGUGCGAGCGUUGUCCGGAAUUAUUGGGCGUAAAGAGCUCGUAGGCGGUUUGUCGCGUCUGCUGUGAAAACCUAAGGCUCAACCUUGGGCUUGCAGUGGGUACGGGCAGACUAGAGUGCGGUAGGGGGUGACUGGAAUUCCUGGUGUAGCGGUGGAAUGCGCAGAUAUCAGGAGGAACACCGAUGGCGAAGGCAGGUCACUGGGCCGCAACUGACGCUGAGGAGCGAAAAGCAUGGGGGAGCGAACAGG